ACCAGGCUGGGAAAGACUCUGUUAAUAGCAGGGCAAUUCGUUCUCCAGCUAAGAAUUUCUCUUGAUUUCCAGCAAAAAGUUUUGAAGCCUCCACCUUUUUGCUGUUGUUUGAAAGCAGUCACUUGGACUGUCUUCUUAUUACCCAUGUAUAUUUGAACAUAAAUUACAUCUGACUGCGGUGACACUAAUUAAGGUGGAGGCACUCAGAUGCAGCCCCCCUUGCGGGGAGCGUGGCCAAUAAUCCUGCCGUGACUGGCAGGUGUUUUGACCACUUUAGACAACAGCAAUUUCAUAAAGUGUCCUUCCCCUUCUCCUUGACAAGGAGGGGACAGCCAGGCCCCCUCUGAGGCAUCUGCCACCAGGCAGGGACCAGGUGGCCUCGGGGAGCACAGAGAUGGCACCCAGCUUUUCGAGGGUGUUGCCUGCUGUCUUGUGUAAUUAUAGAUUCCAACCCCACCCUUUCCUAAAAUAUAAAAGGAUUUUGUAUUAUCUCAGUGGUUUUAUAAUAUCCCAGCGAUGUGCACCUGAGGUAUUUGACCAAAUAUUAUUAAAACUCUGCAAGGGCUAAUAAUGCUGGAAGUAGUGCGACGCCUUCCUGUGACAUUGCAAUAAUUCAGUAAUUUUACAGUACAUUUGAAUUUUGGCAUUGUUCAGCCGCUCAGUCUCCAUUAACUUCGCUUGGAAUUUCUUAUGUCCGUGCACACAACCAAAAGUGUCAAGUUUCUCCUUCAUGCUCCAAAACGCCACCUGAAUCACAAUUGUGCUGCAGCUAAUUGUUAUUAAUUAAGCUGUUCCUAGCAGUCCAAGCUGGAUUGUGCUUUUCUCUGGGUGUAAUGAAAAGCGAAGGCAUUUAGUAAGCACGGCAUUUGGAGUAGAACAAGACAGCCCUGCUCAUGGGAAUAUCUCUGUGAGAUGCUUUUGGGGAGGGUCUGGGUGUUUUUAAGGAUGGGGCCACCAGCUCAGGCUCCAUCACAGGAGCUCUGCUGACCUUGGCCGCUGUUUCCCGGCACAGGCAGGCAGUCCAAGGACGUUUUGCAGCGGGUGAAUUUGCACGGAGCGGAUCCGGCCGCACGUGCUCCCGCAUCACUUAAGCACAAGGCCUUGGCCAGGGCCCCCAGCACAAGGUUUGCCCAGGAAUCACAUGGCAGGUGCCCUGUGCCCCCCUCUGCCACCUGCCUCUGCUCUCCCAGGUUCAGCUGAAGGGGGAUCGUGGAGUGAAACGAGGGUGAGGAAGGGAUUAAUGAAGCGGGGACCCCAGGAGCAGCCUCUCCGCCGAGGGAAAAUUGGGAAAAUUGCUUCCUGGCUUUUCUUCUCAGCGAGGCUGCUGAGGAACACGCCUGCUGCUCUCUGCCUGGGCAGGAGCAGUGAGGCACCUGGCAUUCAUCUCCUUCAGUGUUUGCUUGGGAAAAUAAGGUCAGGUCAGGAGCACUUUGGGCAGAAAUGUCAUCUUCAUGUGAGAGGCAGCAGUGGGAAGCUGCUUUUGGUCUGUGGGAAAGUGCCAUCCGAAAAAAAGCAACCUGCUCUCUGCUGUGACUUCUCCUUUUGUCCCCCUUGCCUUGCAUUAAGAACCAGAAAACAGACGAUUUUGGCAAUCGCCGUGGGCUGUUAUUUUAACAGUGAGAUAAUGGUUACCCUGUGCAGGAUGAGAGGUCAGGAAUCGUCUUGGGACUUCUCCAAGUCCAAAAAGAUGGGGAAUGGUUUGUGUGCAGACCUUAGAAAUAAGCCCAAGGGCACAGUCUGGUGGUUGCUCCAGAUUACUCACUUAAAGCCUUGCUGGAGCGAGCAGGGUGGAAAGGAAGGAUCCCUGGAGAAUCACCAUGAAUAGGUGGGAGUGGGGUGGGAGUCUUCUGCACCAUGCUUAGUCUUGGAGAGAUUUUCUCCUGCCAUGAUCACCACAUGCCACUGAACGGAAGCUUUAAUCUGUGCACAGAUCCUCCUGGUGCUGCCACCACUUUUCUGGGGUCAGCUGCAGAGUUUUAUAUGGCAUUACGUUUCUUUCAUCCCAACAAAUUCCCUGGCAUUUUGCUGCUACACGUCCGUUCUUCUGCUGGUGGUGUUUGCACAAAAAAUGACCAAAUCUCAGCUAGCAGCCUGGGCAGGGACCUGUGAAGUCAGUGAAAGGCUUUAUGGCUGUUUGCAGGGUAAACCCCCUCACCCUGUACUUACAGCUUCCUCCCAGGACUGCUAUUUGUGGCUCCAGUGAUAAACUAGUCCUGCUGUUGCUGAGUGGAGGAUUCUAAACUAAUGGUGCUUCUGCUCCCGGGAUUUACCAUUUGGAAGAUACUUUAUUGCUAUCUUGUGACAUUUCCCUGCACUUUUAUGCUCAUUUAUAUAACUGAUUUCUUUGAUUUAUGGCAGGUUUUCUUCAUGUAUAACAAUGUCAUAAAUUGCACAGCACUCCUUUAAGUGGUUACGAAUGUGAGAUAUUCAGUAAACUAUGGCAUGGGGGAAAGGGUAGAUUCCUUUUGAAGAGGCUUUUGACCCCAAUCCCAAAUAAAAUAACCUGUUCUUCAAAAGAAAUCAGAAGCAAGCAUCAAAAUAAGUUAGCAUAGUCUGUUUGUUGACUAGCCAGCUGGUAGUGGGGUUUUUUAGUGCAAAAUAUGUUAUUCAUAUAGAUAAAAGAAUGCAUGAGGCCAAACCCACAGAGUGGUAAUGUUUGUGGGGUGAUCCCUGUAGCUUUGUUAUCCAGGAUCUGCAGAGGCUUUCAGAGAAGCAGCAAAUUAAUGUUUCUCUUUCAAUAAACCUUUCUUUUCCCUUUCUGUUGGUAAACCUGCUAUUUCAGAUGUUGCUAUUUUUUUAAGACCCUCAAACAAGCUCAUAUUUCCAAGGAGUGUUCAGUGGCCAUCAGGGAUCCAAAGCCUAUCAAAGGCACUGGUCAGGCCUGUGAAAUAAAGACCUUGGGUUUUGAUUGUGUUGGCAUCUUGCUUUGUGGAGGAAAAGAAACAGCACAUUUAAAAAUUACUUUCUGAGUUCAGCUGUCAGAGAAGCUUUCUGUUGACCUUUACAAAUUGAUACCGUCACAAUCAAUGGACAGAAGUUUAAGGGCAGCCUCUGGGGUGGGGAGGCAGGAAUGAACCCAAACAUUUAUAAAAUAUAUAUGGAGUGUGUUUUAAAAAGCCCGAGAGAAAUAACAGCAAGUAUUAAAAGGGGGUAUAUUUGAACAAACUGCUUCAUAAAGAAUUUAUAAUACCUGGUUCUAAGUAUGGUUAGUUAAAACUUAGCUAUUGAGAUGAUUUCUGAAAGUAUAUAAAACUAAAAAUAAGAAAUAAAUGUGCCUUAGGUUGGUGCAGUGCAGCAAUAGGUGGGUGAGAGAAGCAAUUAGAGACGUUGAAGUUGCUUUGUGAGAUUCAGCUGCAGGGAUACUGCGUUUGAGGUGCAGCGUGGACUCCCCCAUGCUCCCUCUGGCCUUGGGAGGCGAAACCAUUUACCAAGGCUCAGGAGGAAUUGUGUGAAGAGGGACAAGCCAGUCUGUGACUUCAGCUGCUGCCUUGCUAGUUUUUAAAGAAUCUAUGAGAUGCACUGAGAAGCUCCUCGAACCCAAGCACGCAGUCCUCCUCCCCCAGGUAAAACAGGCAGAAGCUUCAGUGCUGCAGGAGCUUGCCCUGAAUAUUCUGCUCAUGUACAGGGAGGUUAUCAGCACACCAGGGACAGGCUGUGCAGAAGAGGCUGGCUCCACACUGGGGCUGCAUGUUCUUAUGCACAGCACAUAGAAGAAAAAAAAAAAAAA
ensembl:lncRNA